UGGAGGAAGCGCUCUCGCUCAACGCGAGCCGUCGAGAGUAAAGAAAGUGUGGUGAGGAUGAGCGGCAUUAGCCAGACCUCUAGGGCAUGUUGUAGGGUGGCGGUAGGCUUGUGGGUGUCCGAAUCGAGUCGGAGGCGGUUAUUGGCCAGACCAAGAGCAUGGGGCAGUGACUGGGCUGGCGGACAUAUCGGUCGACGAGAGCUCCAAGACGCCCAUCCAUGGCAUUGGGUGGAGCACGACCAGGCAUCGGGGAACUAUGGAGGCGGGACUGGAUCGAAAAGGAGAGAAUGGCGAUGUGGUGGUGAGGUGAGGUGGAUGAAGAACAGAGGAGAAGAAUGGAG
rnacentral:lncRNA from 1 species